GAGUAACGCGUAUCCAACCUGCCUAUCACUUGGGGAUAACCUUGCGAAAGUAAGACUAAUACCCAAUGACGUCUCUAGAAGACAUCUGAAAGAGAUUAAAGAUUUAUCGGUGAUGGAUGGGGAUGCGUCUGAUUAGCUUGUUGGCGGGGUAACGGCCCACCAAGGCAACGAUCAGUAGGGGUUCUGAGAGGAAGGUCCCCCACAUUGGAACUGAGACACGGUCCAAACUCCUACGGGAGGCAGCAGUGAGGAAUAUUGGUCAAUGGGCGAGAGCCUGAACCAGCCAAGUAGCGUGCAGGAUGACGGCCCUAUGGGUUGUAAACUGCUUUUAUAAGGGAAUAAAGUGGGAGUCGUGACUCCUUUUGCAUGUACCUUAUGAAUAAGGACCGGCUAAUUCCGCGCCAGCAGCCGCGGUAAUACGGAAGGUCCGGGCGUUAUCCGGAUUUAUUGGGUUUAAAGGGAGCGUAGGCCGGAGAUUAAGCGUGUUGUGAAAUGUAGACGCUCAACGUCUGCACUGCAGCGCGAACUGGUUUCCUUGAGUACGCACAAAGUGGGCGGAAUUCGUGGUGUAGCGGUGAAAUGCUUAGAUAUCACGAAGAACUCCGAUUGCGAAGGCAGCUCACUGGAGCGCAACUGACGCUGAAGCUCGAAAGUGCGGGUAUCGAACAGGAUUAGAUACCCUGGUAGUCCGCACGGUAAACGAUGGAUGCCCACUGUUGGUCUGAAUAGGUCAGCGGCCAAG
rnacentral:rRNA from 1 species